CCUGUGUCAGGGCUGGAGAGCUGGUGAUGAGCUAGUUACUGGUCAGGACGCCAAGCCAUAGCCUCAGAGAAAUGUAGGAGGAGGCUAAAGAAAACUCUAGAUUUCCUCUUGUGUUGGAGAGAACUGAGAGAUACCCUCAAGAACAUUGUAGAUCAAGACCCUCCCCUCCACUUAUAAAACUUCUACAUCCAGACUCCAACAUCUAGAGAUUAGUAGAAUGGGAACCCCAUUUCUAGAACCUAGAUGGAGAAACCAAAGGCCGGAAGAGUCAAGCCAUUUGUCCACAAUCACAUGAUCCCGGGUCUCCACACUCCAGAUACCUCCAAAGCUUGCCAAGAGCCACCCAGGAACAGAUUUCUUCAUUUAUCUGUCACAUCUGCUCCUGACUCCUACUCCCUGGUACUCUCUCCAAGUGAACUGCUUACCACAAAACCAUUUGGGACAACAGGGACCAUAGAGCUGAUCCAUAUUGCUCCGAUAACUUAGAUUGGUUCACUUAAUUUUUCAAGUACGGUGAGUACUACCCCAAAUCUAUAUAACUGAUGCAAUUAUCUCCGACUCCGUUAAUCCCGAGUCCUGCUCUUGAUUUCAAGUCAGAUAAAUCAAGUUUUUGCCCUUUAUUCAUUUUAAAUAAUUGACUUAGAAAUCAGACAAGCAGGAUGGUUUUAAAAGCUAGA